rnacentral:lncRNA from 1 species
UGCGUGUGGAAUGGUUGGUGUGCUGUGCGUAUACAAUAUUGCAACAUACACUUGCACGCACGCACGCCUGCCUGAAGCAGUGGUGGUGUUGGUGGUAGUCAACUCAAUGCAAGAUCCGGAUGGAUAGUGCAGCAGGAGUAGCAGCAAGAAGGAACCUGCAGCAAGGAAAAAAUUUUGAGUGAACAAAAAAAAAAUACAAACAAACAUGCAGGGUAGCAAGCACUGUUAUUUCCACCACCAGGCCUGGACGGCUGUAUGGUCCUGGACGGCUGGAGCCUGGAGGAGUGGAGGGGGAGGUAGAGGACAAAGCCUGCGGCUGUGGGCAGCAAACAAGCCAAAUCUGGAUCAACGCCCAGUUUCCUUUCCGUCAGGGAUGGAUGUAGCCAGGGCUACGAGUCCCUUGCCGUAUCGAUACC